GGCACUAGGUGUGGGGUCUGUUUCCACGGAUUCCGCGCCGUAGCUAACGCAUUAAGUGCCCCGCCUGGGGAGUACGGCCGCAAGGCUAAAACUCAAAGGAAUUGACGGGGGCCCGCACAAGCGGCGGAGCAUGCGGAUUAAUUCGAUGCAACGCGAAGAACCUUACCAAGGCUUGACAUACUUGAGAAGCCACCAGAGAUGGUGGUCUCUUUGGACACUCAUGUACAGGUGGUGCAUGGUUGUCGUCAGCUCGUGUCGUGAGAUGUUGGGUUAAGUCCCGCAACGAGCGCAACCCUCGUUCUAUGUUGCCAGCACGUUAUGGUGGGAACUCAUAGGAGACUGCCGGGGUCAACUCGGAGGAAGGUGGGGAUGACGUCAAAUCAUCAUGCCCCUUAUGUCUUGGGCUUCACGCAUGCUACAAUGGCCGGUACAAAGGGCUGCGAUACCGUAAGGUGGAGCGAAUCCCAAAAAGCCGGUCUCAGUUCGGAUUGAGGUCUGCAACUCGACCUCAUGAAGUCGGAGUCGCUAGUAAUCGCAGAUCAGCAACGCUGCGGUGAAUACGUUCCCGGGCCUUGUACACACCGCCCGUCAAGUCAUGAAAGUCGGUAACACCCGAAGCCAGUGGCCUAACCCUUGUGGAUGGAGCUGUCGAAGGUGGGA
rnacentral:rRNA from 1 species